AUGGCUUUGAUCUCCGUCCUCAUCUGGACUCUCCUCUGCUGCUGCUUCACAGAGUCCAGAGGCCAGUGCACAGCAACUCAGCCUGCAGCAGUGAGAUCUACUCUGGGAGGAUCUGCAACCAUCAGCUGUAGGACCAGUCAGAAUGUUCAUGAUGGGAUCUACUUAGCCUGGUUCCAACAGCGAGAUGGAGAAACUCCCAAACUUCUUAUUACCAGGUCUACUUAUAGAGAAUCAGGGAUUCCAGGUCGUUUUACAGGCAGUGGAUCAAACUCUGACUUCACUCUGACCAUCAGUGGAGUUCAGGCUGAAGAUGCAGCAGUUUACUACUGUCAGAAUGUAUUCACUUUCAGUACUGGAUGUUCAUUCACACAGUGA